AUCCAGCUGACGAGUAUUUAAUAAGACGAAACGAGUGUCCUGGAU
rnacentral:hammerhead_ribozyme from 1 species